GAUGAACGCUGGCGGCGUGCCUAAUACAUGCAAGUCGAGCGAACAGACGAGGAGUUUGCUCCUCUGUCGUUAGCGGCGGACGGGUGAGUCACACGUGGAUAACCUACCUAUCAGACUGGGAUAACUUCGGGAAACCGGAGCUAAUACCGGAUAAUAUAUUGAACCGCAUGGUUCGAUAGUGAAAGACGGUUUUGCUGUUACUUAUAGAUGGAUCCGCGCCGCGUUAGCUAGUUGGUAAGGUAACGGCUUACCAAGGCAACGAGGCGUAGCCGAACUGAGAGGGUGGUCGGCCGCAUGGGAACGGGGACAGGGUCCAGACGCCUAAGAGAGGCAGCAGUAGGGAAUCGUCCGCAAUGGGCGGAAGCCUGACGGAGCGAGGCCGCGUGAGUGAUGAAGGUGUUCGGAGAGUAAAAAUGUGUUAUUAGGGAAGAACAAAUGUGUAAGUAACUAUGCACGACUUGACGGUACCUAAUCAGAAAGCCACGGCUAACUACGUG
rnacentral:rRNA from 1 species